UACGGAGGGUGCAAGCGUUAUCCGGAUUCACUGGGUUUAAAGGGCUCGUAGGUGGCCAACUAAGUCGGACGUGAAAUCCCUCGGCUUAACCGGGGAACUGCGUCCGAUACUGGUUGGCUUGAGUUUGGGAGAGGGAUGCGGAAUUCCAGGUGUAGCGGUGAAAUGCGUAGAUAUCUGGAGGAACACCGGUGGCGAAGGCGGCAUCCUGGACCAAUACUGACGCUGAGGAGCGAAAGCCAGGGGAGCAAACGGG
rnacentral:rRNA from 1 species